AGUGAACGCUGGCGGUAGGCCUAACACAUGCAAGUCGAACGGCAGCACAGUAAGAGCUUGCUCUUACGGGUGGCGAGUGGCGGACGGGUGAGGAAUACAUCGGAAUCUACUUUUUCGUGGGGGAUAACGUAGGGAAACUUACGCUAAUACCGCAUACGACCUACGGGUGAAAGCAGGGGAUCUUCGGACCUUGCGCGAUUGAAUGAGCCGAUGUCGGAUUAGCUAGUUGGCGGGGUAAAGGCCCACCAAGGCGACGAUCCGUAGCUGGUCUGAGAGGAUGAACAGGCACACCGGGAAUUGAACACGGGCCCGACUCCUCAGGGGGGGCAGAGGGGGGAAAAUUGGGAAAAGGGGGGAAAGCUUGUCCAAGCAAUACGGGGGGGGGAAAGAAGGCCUUGGGUUUUAAAACCCUUUUUUUGGGGAAAAAAAGGAGGCGGGUUAAACCCCCGCUUUUUGACGGGAACCAAAAAAAAAAGCCCGGGUUAAUUCGGG
rnacentral:rRNA from 1 species